rnacentral:lncRNA from 1 species
CUAGUUAGAGAGCCUUGUCUUCCACCACGUCCAUGCCUAGAGACUCUAUAGAUGCUGCCACCAGAACUAUAGGGAUUUAUGUACUACAUAGUGGAAGAUGGCACAUGCAUCCAGAUUCCAAUUAAAAGUUGUGAUCAAACUCGGGCCAUUAAUCAAAAAACAUGAUCAUGUAGUUUGGAUUUUAUGUAUAGUCGACAUAAAGUCUAAAAGAUGAUGCUUCAAAUGUACAUAAUCAUUAAGCCAAAGUAAAGAUUACGGGAGAUUAGGGUUAUAUUCUUCAUAUAAUAAAUGCAGGUGCAGUACUAACAGUCCCUAAAGUGACUCUUGUAGCAACAAAAGCAGACAAAAGAGGUGCAUU